UAUACACGUCCAAGGUCAGGAGCGGCGGCCGUGAGGAGAUACCCCAUGUCCAAGAUGCAGCUCUGCUCAAUGGGUGGCAGCGAUGAGGAACAGAAGCCUGGUUUUAGCUAAAACAAGGAUUUGAGAUGAAAGAAGGGUCAAAGAUGAAUACAGCCUGAGUUGCUCUAGCUGG
rnacentral:lncRNA from 1 species